GGGUACUUAGUCUUAAGCUCCACAACUUGUUGCUCUAACGGCGUGUACUUGGGAUUUGCAAUUUCAUGACACUUGGAAGGUUCCAAAAGGUGGUAAGAUGGUUCUAGAAGUUUAUCCAGGAACUUCUGGUGGAGAGUGGGAUUAGGAAGAGGAGUGGAUGGGUUAUCUACGUGGGUUGAUAGCUUAGGGGUUUUGGUGGGUUUUGUAGGAUAAUCAUCGUAAGAAGAAGAAAGUUUGUUCUGAGGAGAAAUGAGUUGGGAAGUUCUAAGGCGCUUUGCAGGUGAAAAGCUGACGGUGGCAACAAUUUUGGGAGGUGGAGUACAGGGGGUCGUUGAAGUUGAAGGGUCUUCUUCGUUCUUCGGUUUUGGUGCAAAGAAGCGGGAAAUUACUUGUUGUUUUGGUUUCCCCAUUAUACCAAUGGAGACGACUGCGGUCGUCGGGGUGGUGACUGGUGGUAGUGGU
rnacentral:misc_RNA from 1 species